rnacentral:lncRNA from 1 species
CCAUGAAGAAAAAGAGGAAAAAGAGGCAUCCCUCCCUUCUUUCUUGGUGCCCAAAAAGAAAAGAAAAGAGAAGGGGGCAUCCAAGAGUUGGACGCCCAUAUCUCAUGAUCUUGUCUCUCCUCUUCUCCUCCCUUCUUGAAAGUUUUCUUUUUUAAAAAUCUUUUAUUGUUAAUUUUUGGACAUCAAAGAGAGGCUUCUCUACUGGUUUUAUAGUAGAAAAUUGAAGAAGAAAAGUUCUUCCCAACGAGAGAAAGAGAAGGAAGAAGAAGGAUCUUCUUUCUUGUGCGCA